AUCGAACGCUGGCGGCAUGCCUUACACAUGCAAGUCGAACGGCAGCACGGGUGCUUGCACCUGGUGGCGAGUGGCGAACGGGUGAGUAAUACAUCGGAACAUGUCCUGUAGUGGGGGAUAGCCCGGCGAAAGCUGGAUUAAUAUCGCAUACGACCCACGGAUGAAAGCGGGGGACCUUCUGGUCUCGCGCGAUUGGGUUGGCCGACGGCUGAUUAGCUAGUUGGUGGGGUAAAGGCCUACCAAGGCGACGAUCAGUAGCUGGUCUGAGAGGACGACCAGCCACACUGGGAGUGAGACACGGCCCCGACGCCUACGAGAGGCAGCAGUGGGGAAUGUUGGACAAUGGGCGGAAGCCUGAUCCAGCAAUGCCGCGUGUGUGAAGAAGGCCUUCGGGUUGUAAAGCACUUUUGUCCGGAAAGAAAUCCUUGGCUCUAAUACAGUCGGAGAAUGACGGUACCGGAAGAAUAAGCACCGGCUAACUACGUG
rnacentral:rRNA from 1 species